rnacentral:rRNA from 1 species
UACCAGCACCCCGAGUGGUCGGGACGAUUAUUGGGCCUAAAGCAUCCGUAGCCGGUCCUACAAGUCUUCCGUUAAAUCCACCUGCUUAACAGAUGGGCUGCGGAAGAUACUAUAGGGCUAGGAGGCGGGAGAGGCAAGCGGUACUCAGUGGGUAGGGGUAAAAUCCUCUGAUCCAUUGAAGACCACCAGUGGCGAAGGCGGCUUGCCAGAACGCGCUCGGACGGUGAGGGAUGAAAGCUGGGGGAGCAAACCGG